rnacentral:rRNA from 1 species
GGGUUGUGAGGUUAAGCGACUAAGCGUACACGGUGGAUGCCCUGGCAGUCAGAGGCGAUGAAGGACGUGCUAAUCUGCGAUAAGCGUCGGUAAGGUGAUAUGAACCGUUAUAACCGGCGAUUUCCGAAUGGGGAAACCCAGUGUGUUUCGACACACUAUCAUUAACUGAAUCCAUAGGUUAAUGAGGCGAACCGGGGGAACUGAAACAUCUAAGUACCCCGAGGAAAAGAAAUCAACCGAGAUUCCCCCAGUAGCGGCGAGCGAACGGGGAGCAGCCCAGAGCCUGAAUCAGUGUGUGUGUUAGUGGAAGCGUCUGGAAAGGCGCGCGAUACAGGGUGACAGCCCCGUACACAAAAAUGCACAUGCUGUGAGCUCGAUGAGUAGGGCGGGACACGUGGUAUCCUGUCUGAAUAUGGGGGGACCAUCCUCCAAGGCUAAAUACUCCUGACUGACCGAUAGUGAACCAGUACCGUGAGGGAAAGGCGAAAAGAACCCCGGCGAGGGGAGUGAAAAAGAACCUGAAACCGUGUACGUACAAGCAGUGGGAGCACGCUUAGGCGUGUGACUGCGUACCUUUUGUAUAAUGGGUCAGCGACUUAUAUUCUGUAGCAAGGUUAACCGAAUAGGGGAGCCGAAGGGAAACCGAGUCUUAACUGGGCGUUAAGUUGCAGGGUAUAGACCCGAAACCCGGUGAUCUAGCCAUGGGCAGGUUGAAGGUUGGGUAACACUAACUGGAGGACCGAACCGACUAAUGUUGAAAAAUUAGCGGAUGACUUGUGGCUGGGGGUGAAAGGCCAAUCAAACCGGGAGAUAGCUGGUUCUCCCCGAAAGCUAUUUAGGUAGCGCCUCGUGAAUUCAUCUCCGGGGGUAGAGCACUGUUUCGGCAAGGGGGUCAUCCCGACUUACCAACCCGAUGCAAACUGCGAAUACCGGAGAAUGUUAUCACGGGAGACACACGGCGGGUGCUAACGUCCGUCGUGAAGAGGGAAACAACCCAGACCGCCAGCUAAGGUCCCAAAGUCAUGGUUAAGUGGGAAACGAUGUGGGAAGGCCCAGACAGCCAGGAUGUUGGCUUAGAAGCAGCCAUCAUUUAAAGAAAGCGUAAUAGCUCACUGGUCGAGUCGGCCUGCGCGGAAGAUGUAACGGGGCUAAACCAUGCACCGAAGCUGCGGCAGCGACGCUUAUGCGUUGUUGGGUAGGGGAGCGUUCUGUAAGCCUGUGAAGGUGUACUGUGAGGUAUGCUGGAGGUAUCAGAAGUGCGAAUGCUGACAUAAGUAACGAUAAAGCGGGUGAAAAGCCCGCUCGCCGGAAGACCAAGGGUUCCUGUCCAACGUUAAUCGGGGCAGGGUGAGUCGACCCCUAAGGCGAGGCCGAAAGGCGUAGUCGAUGGGAAACAGGUUAAUAUUCCUGUACUUGGUGUUACUGCGAAGGGGGGACGGAGAAGGCUAUGUUGGCCGGGCGACGGUUGUCCCGGUUUAAGCGUGUAGGCUGGUUUUCCAGGCAAAUCCGGAAAAUCAAGGCUGAGGCGUGAUGACGAGGCACUACGGUGCUGAAGCAACAAAUGCCCUGCUUCCAGGAAAAGCCUCUAAGCAUCAGGUAACAUCAAAUCGUACCCCAAACCGACACAGGUGGUCAGGUAGAGAAUACCAAGGCGCUUGAGAGAACUCGGGUGAAGGAACUAGGCAAAAUGGUGCCGUAACUUCGGGAGAAGGCACGCUGAUAUGUAGGUGAAGUCCCUCGCGGAUGGAGCUGAAAUCAGUCGAAGAUACCAGCUGGCUGCAACUGUUUAUUAAAAACACAGCACUGUGCAAACACGAAAGUGGACGUAUACGGUGUGACGCCUGCCCGGUGCCGGAAGGUUAAUUGAUGGGGUCAGCGCAAGCGAAGCUCUUGAUCGAAGCCCCGGUAAACGGCGGCCGUAACUAUAACGGUCCUAAGGUAGCGAAAUUCCUUGUCGGGUAAGUUCCGACCUGCACGAAUGGCGUAAUGAUGGCCAGGCUGUCUCCACCCGAGACUCAGUGAAAUUGAACUCGCUGUGAAGAUGCAGUGUACCCGCGGCAAGACGGAAAGACCCCGUGAACCUUUACUAUAGCUUGACACUGAACAUUGAGCCUUGAUGUGUAGGAUAGGUGGGAGGCUUUGAAGUGUGGACGCCAGUCUGCAUGGAGCCGACCUUGAAAUACCACCCUUUAAUGUUUGAUGUUCUAACGUUGACCCGUAAUCCGGGUUGCGGACAGUGUCUGGUGGGUAGUUUGACUGGGGCGGUCUCCUCCUAAAGAGUAACGGAGGAGCACGAAGGUUGGCUAAUCCUGGUCGGACAUCAGGAGGUUAGUGCAAUGGCAUAAGCCAGCUUGACUGCGAGCGUGACGGCGCGAGCAGGUGCGAAAGCAGGUCAUAGUGAUCCGGUGGUUCUGAAUGGAAGGGCCAUCGCUCAACGGAUAAAAGGUACUCCGGGGAUAACAGGCUGAUACCGCCCAAGAGUUCAUAUCGACGGCGGUGUUUGGCACCUCGAUGUCGGCUCAUCACAUCCUGGGGCUGAAGUAGGUCCCAAGGGUAUGGCUGUUCGCCAUUUAAAGUGGUACGCGAGCUGGGUUUAGAACGUCGUGAGACAGUUCGGUCCCUAUCUGCCGUGGGCGCUGGAGAAUUGAGGGGGGCUGCUCCUAGUACGAGAGGACCGGAGUGGACGCAUCACUGGUGUUCGGGUUGUCAUGCCAAUGGCACUGCCCGGUAGCUAAAUGCGGAAGAGAUAAGUGCUGAAAGCAUCUAAGCACGAAACUUGCCCCGAGAUGAGUUCUCCCUGAC